CCUCAAUGUUAGGGUGCUUCUGAUUUGC
rnacentral:piRNA from 1 species